GACGAACGCUGGCGGCGUGCUUAACACAUGCAAGUCGAACGGAAAGGCCCUGCUUUUGUGGGGUGCUCGAGUGGCGAACGGGUGAGUAACACGUGAGUAACCUGCCCUUGACUUUGGGAUAACUUCAGGAAACUGGGGCUAAUACCGGAUAGGAGCUCCUGCUGCAUGGUGGGGGUUGGAAAGUUUCGGCGGUUGGGGAUGGACUCGCGGCUUAUCAGCUUGUUGGUGGGGGAGUGGCUUACCAAGGCUUUGACGGGUAGCCGGCCUGAGAGGGUGACCGGCCACAUUGGGACUGAGAUACGGCCCAGACUCCUACGGUAGGCAGCGGUGGGGAAUAUUGCACAAUGGGCGGAAGCCUGAUGCAGCAACGCCGCGUGCGGGAUGACGGCCUUCGGGUUGUAAACCGCUUUCGCCUGUGACGAAGCGUGAGUGACGGUAAUGGGUAAAGAAGCACCGGCUAACUACGUG
rnacentral:rRNA from 1 species